AUAUUUCCAGAUAAUGCACUUACGAGGAAUCCUUGAUGGUAGAGUCCUGGUUGUCCUCAGGAUUUGCCUUCCAGAAGUACGGCUUGUCCAUCAGUCCUCCAGAUUCCUGGUCUGGUUACAAACGUAAUUUGCCUCUAAUGUAAGGUAACAAACACAGUAGUAGUUGGGCUCUAAUGUAAGGUAACAAACACAGUAGUAGUUUGUCUCUAAUAUCAGGUAACAAACAGUAGUAGUUGGGCUCUAAUGUAAGGUCACAGACACAGGAGUAGUUGGGCUCUAAAGGCGCGUAACAAAGUAGCAGCUGUAGUUUAUCUGGUAAACAACCACAGUAGUAUGCCGUAACUUGUACUGGACAAACUAAUCCUGCGUUACAACAAGUCCACUCUGUUUAUUUAUGCGAACUUACGAGGAUCCUGGUUGGUAGAGUGAUGUCGUCCUCCAGAGUCUUGGCUCCUCCAUCAGCUCACCUCAGCCAGAGUCCUGGUCUGGAACAAACACUGGUCUCAGCAGUAAAUCACCUGGGGACGCAACACACCCCACCACUGUAGAAGUCAAUGUGGGAUUUUAAUAUAUAAACAACACUUGACAGAAGUUUAAUACAAUUUUGUAAAGGAAAGCAGAGGAAAACAUUUUCCCAAAUGAACCUUUUCAAAAUGUCACCACCAUUCCGAAAGGUGGUGAAGAGGUUUGUGUAAAAGCAGUCCUCCCUGACCAGCUCUGUCCCUGACUCUAAACCCUGACUCUCAACCCUAACGCAGAACCCUCUGAGGGCAGGAAGACGCGCCUUCAGUGUAAAGGUUCGAACAACAGAGAAGGAAGAAGAAGCAGUAGAGAGUAGUGAAGUAGUGAGGUUAGUGAAAGACGUGAGGGAAAGGCGUGUCGAAUCACGUUACAUGUGGGGUCAAGAAGAUGACUCCCACUGGAGGUCAUUGAUACAUUAGCCUCAGACUGCUGAGCUCAGCAGGUCUUCUGGAGGAUGAGGCGCAGAUGAACUGAGGAGACGGGACCAGCAGGAUGCCAGGAUCAGGGCGGGUUCAGCUCAGGUGUUUCUGCCUGGACCAAACAAGGACAUUGAUUAGGUUCAAUAUUCA
ensembl:lncRNA